UAUGACGCGUGUAGUGCCGCAAGGGAGCCUACUAAGAUACAUUAGUCGGCGUUCUUGAGACAGUAAAAAGAAAAAAAAGAAAAAAAAGAACACCUAUGAAGAGAAAGCGACCAGAGACUUUGCUGAUGCCCUGUCAUUACGGGAAGUUGACAUUUUUCCAUCCUUUGAAACGAUGUUGUUCGUGAGAUGGUCUUGCUUUUUAUCAUCGUCGGAUGGUCCUCCUGCUUAUCCCGUGAACCUGCACUGUUCCAUUCACUUGUGCCAGCCUCAAGCAUGAGCGAAGCCUAUUUCUGCGAUGCGCCAGCCGCGAUACCGGCCUUUUUGCUCAACGUUUCCUUCGGCCUCCCAGCCACAUCGACACAGCCAUCACCAGGAAAGGCUGAUUUAAGCUGCCGACCCAUCGACCUACACUUCAGUGCACACGGGAACAAUGCUUGUGGCACCACGCCUAAUCGUCUUGUUUUCACCAUGCAGGAUGCCCUGCUGCGUCGACGUUUCCUGAUGCUUCCGGUGAAGCCACACCUCACCCGGUCGAGAUCGUAUUAACUGGUUGGCAGCAAUGGGAUACUCUCCCCCCCCCCCUUCGUACUGGCUUCAGCAGAAUGAAGGUGUCACCAGGCAGGCUUUGGAACGAUCGGCGAAACGAAGCAGAGGCACGAGGUUUACCGGUCUCUUCGAGGUGCUUGCAUACUGCAACCCCUUCGAGACAUCCUGUGGUGGCGGACGGGCUAUUAUAAUCGACUUAAGUUUCCCAAGAAGCCAUCGACUACCACAUCUGGCGACGGGGGGAUGCCCCAUCAGCAACACGCAGCUGUCACGCUUGAUGUUCACGCCUCAUCCUUCACUUCGCUUCAAGACAGCAACGUCGCCCUCCUGACCGUCACGGAGUGGCCAAUUAUCGAGGAAAGGUCCUCGUCGAGAACUCCCGGGGGAAAGCAUCGAUGGCAGGCGGGUUGCCUCCUAUUGUGACCCGUUGGAGACAGGUGCACCACGUACACGAGUAACUCGUUGAAGACAUGAGCACCCCGAGCAGCACGCUGACGACCGGUGAGGAGCGAUAAAGGUGGUGAACGAUUCGACGUUUGUGUUUGGCCAGCGGACUCCUUCAACGAAGGAAAGAGAGGUUAUUUAAGGCCGUCCUGGCUUCCGUGUUAGAUCAGAACCGCUCGAGACUCGGAUAAGAGUCAUAACCAUGGACCAACGAAGUGAAUACAUUCCUUUCUACUUUUUUCAUCAUCACGA